rnacentral:rRNA from 1 species
CCAGACUCCUACGGGAGGCAGCAGUAGGGAAUCUUUCACAAUGGGCGAAAGCCUGAUGGAGCAACGCCGCGUGCAGGAUGAAGGCCUUCGGGUUGUAAACUGCUUUUAUAAGCGAGAAAUAUGAUGGUAACUUAUGAAUAAGGAUCGGCUAACUACGUGCCAGCAGCCGCGGUAAUACGUAGGGGGCAAGCGUUAUCCGGAUUUACUGGGUGUAAAGGGAGCGUAGACGGCGAUGCAAGCCAGAUGUGAAAGCGCGGGGCUCAACCCCGGGACUGCAUUUGGAACUGUGUGGCUGGAGUGCGGGAGGGACAGGCGGAAUUCCUGGUGUAGCGGUGAAAUGCGUAGAUAUCAGGAGGAACACCGGCGGCGAAGGCGGCCUGCUGGACCGCGACUGACGUUGAGGCUCGAAAGCGUGGGGAGCAGACAGGAUUAGAUUCCCCAGUA